ACAUCCAGAGAACUUGGCAGAGAUGCCUUGGUGCCUUCGGGACCUCUGAGACAGGUGCUGCAUGGCUGUCGUCAGCUCGUGUUGUGAAAUGUUGGGUUAAGUCCCGNAACGAGCGCAACCCCUAUCCUUUGUUGCCAGCGAUUCGGUCGGGAACUCAAAGGAGACUGCCGGUGAUAAACCGGAGGAAGGCGGGGAUGACGUCAAGUCAUCAUGGCCCUUACGAGUAGGGCUACACACGUGCUACAAUGGCGCAUACAAAGAGAAGCGACCUCGCGAGAGCAAGCGGACCUCAUAAAGUGCGUCGUAGUCCGGAUCGGAGUCUGCAACUCGACUCCGUGAAGUCGGAAUCGCUAGUAAUCGUAGAUCAGAAUGCUACGGUGAAUACGUUCCCGGGCCUUGUACACACCGCCCGUCACACCAUGGGAGUGGGUUGCAAAAGAAGUAGAUAGCUUAACCUUCGGGAGGGCGUUUACCACUUUGUGAUUCAUGACUGGGGUGAAGUCGUAACAAGGUAGGCGUAGCGAG
rnacentral:rRNA from 1 species